rnacentral:rRNA from 1 species
GGACUACUGGGGUAUCUAAUCCUGUUUGAUCCCCACGCUGUCGCGCCUGAGCGUCAGUAACGGUCCAGUGAGCCGCCUUCGCCACCGGUGUUCUUCCCAAUAUCUACGAAUUUCACCUCUACACUGGGAAUUCCACUCACCUCUACCGUACUCAAGCUCCACAGUUUCAAAGGCAAUUCCAGAGUUGAGCUCUGGGCUUUCACCCCUGACUUGAGGAGCCGCCUGCGCGCGCUUUACGCCCAGUAAUUCCGAACAACGCUAGCCCCCUUCGUAUUACCGCGGCUGCUGGCAC